UACGGGGGGGGCAAGCGUUGUUCGGAAUUACUGGGCGUAAAGGGCGCGUAGGCGGCCUUCUAAGUCAGACGUGGAAUCCCUCGGCUCAACCGAGGAACUGCGUCUGAUACUGGAAGGCUUGAAUCCGGGAGAGGGAUGUGGAAUUCCAGGUGUAGCGGUGAAAUGCGUAGAUAUCUGGAGGAACACCGGUGGCGAAGGCGGCAUCCUGGACCGGUAUUGACGCUGAGGCGCGAAAGCUAGGGGAGCAAACGGG
rnacentral:rRNA from 1 species